rnacentral:rRNA from 1 species
AUGCACCAGCAGCAGAUGAGCCCCGCCGCCUUCCCCGGCUUCGGCGCCGCCAACCCCAUGGCGGCGGUGGCGGCGGCCAACCCCUUCCUCGCGAUGCAACUCUUCGGCCAGGCGCAGCAGCUCCAGAACCUCGGCUACCUCGCCGCCGCCGCGCUCCAGCAGCAGCAGCACCAACAACACCACCACCACCAACCGCAACAGCAGCAAAAUCCCUUCUUGCCGGGAGGCUUCCCGCCGAACCCCAAUCAGUUCGGGGCCUUCUCUGGCCCUCAGGCCGGCUUCAACGGCGGCGGCGUGUUCCGGCCUGGUGGUGCUGGGUUGGCCGGGCCUCGGCCGCCCCUGCCGAUGAUGGGCGCUGCCUGGAAUGGUGGCAGCGGCGGCAGCGGUGUCGGGGUGAACGGCCCGCCGAGGCCUGCGCUGAACGUUGAUGGGAAAGAUCGGAACAGUAGUGGAGGGGUCGGUCAGGUAAACCAAACUAAUAACAAAUCAGAUGGCAUCUCUCAUGUUGCCUCUGAAAAUGGUGUGAGGAAUAAUGCAGCAGAUCAGAAAUCCCGAUUUAACCCUGGAAGAGAUGGUAAGGAUGGAAGGCAGUUUGGUCCAUCUGGUGGAAGAGGGAGAGGAGAUAGUAGGGGUGGAGGGCAAUUCAAUCCAUCUGGUGGAAGGGGGAGAGGAGAUAGUAGGGGUGGAGGGCAAUUCAGUCCAUCUGGUGGAAGGGGAAGAGGAGAUGGUAGGGAUGGACGGUUUAGCCCAUCUGGUGGCAGGGGGAGAGGGAGAAAUUUUAAUCAAGGCCGUGGAAGAGGAAGAAAUGACUGGAGAGAAGGAAAAUGUAAUUUUACAAGUAGUGACAGUCCAAUAUCAGGAGAUUGUCACAUUGACAGCCCAGCAUCUGAAGGAGUUCGAAAGCGCCCUCCUAUCAUUUAUGACAAAAAAGAAGUUAAACAGUGGGUUCAAGCACGCAAGAAAAACUACCCUACAAGUGCCAACAUAAACAAGAAGUUGUGUCAGAGUCAAUUGGAUGAGCAAAAGAAAGAUGAAGAGGCCCAAAUGCGCCGCCGGGAACUCAAGGAAGUUAUAGCAAAGCAGAAGGAAUUGGGUUUGGAACUCCCUGAACUACCACCUGGCUAUCUGUCUGACACUGAGGGUCAACCCAGGGGACGUCAAGGCAAUGAAAAGGAAAGUAAUUGGAAGACUCGACAGGGGGGUGGUCGUUUUGGAAACCGAGGGCGUGGCCGUGGUCGGGGCCGUGGCCGUGACAAUAAGCGACAGAGGUCUGACGACAGAGAAGAUUUUCAGUCUAAAAGACCGAGGGAGAGGAACAACAAUAGUCGUCGUCAUGAUGGUGGUGCGAUGACCAAGAGUAGGGAACCAACCCUCUUGCAGAAGCUUCUUAACUCUGAUAUCAAGAGGGACAGGCACAGGCUUCUGCACACGUUCAAAUUCAUGGCCUUGAACAAUUUCUUCAAGGACUGGCCUGCUAAGCCGCUGGAGUUCCCUAUUGUCAAGGUGGACCAGAUAGAGCUUGGAAGUGAUAUUGACGAGGAAGACUCAGAUGAUGACUUGCCGGAUGCCGAGACGGCCAAGGACUGCAGCCUCGGUUUGAAGGAAAACGGUGAUCAGCCGGAAUCGAGCUCCAGCGAUGAGGAGGAUGAAAGUGAGGACGGCGACGAAGCUGACGACAAGGGUGCUGAUACUGAAAUAACCGAAAAGGUUUCAGAUGAGGAUUCCGACGCAGAGCAAUGCGAAGAAGGUUUCUCAGAUUUCUCAGCCUGA